UGUGAUUAAUGGCCACAUGUGCUAGGACC
rnacentral:piRNA from 1 species